rnacentral:rRNA from 1 species
UACGAAGGGGGCUAGCGUUAUUCGGAAUCACUGGGCGUAAAGCGCACGCAGGCGGAUUGAUAAGUCAGGGGUGAAAUCCUGGAGCUCAACUCCAGAACUGCCUUUGAUACUGAGGAUCUUGAGUUCGGGAGAGGUGAGUGGAACUGCGAGUGUAGAGGUGAAAUUCGUAGAUAUUCGCAAGAACACCAGUGGCGAAGGCGGCUCACUGGCCCGAUACUGACGCUGAGGCACGAAAGCGUGGGGAGCAAACAGG